CCUACGGGGGGCAGCAGUGGGGGAUAUUGCACAAUGGGGGGAACCCUGAUGCAGCGACGCCGCGCGGGUGAAGGAGUGCUUCGGCAUGUAAAGCCCUAUCGGCAGGGAAGAAGCAAGACGGUACCUGACUAAGAAGCCCCGGCUAACUACGUGCCAGCAGCCGCGGUAAUACGUAGGGGGCGAGCGUUAUCCGGAUUCACUGGGUGUAAAGGGAGCGUAGACGGCCAUGCAAGCCAGGGGUGAAAGCCCGGGGCCCAACCCCGGGACUGCCCUUGGAACUGUGCGGCUAGAGUGCGGGAGGGGCAGGCGGAAUGCCUGGUGUAGCGGUGAAAUGCGUAGAUAUCAGGAGGAACACCGGCGGCGAAGGCGGCCUGCUGGACUGCGACUGACGUUGAGGCUCGAAAGCGUGGGGAGCGAACAGGAUUAGAUACCCUGGUAGUC
rnacentral:rRNA from 1 species